GAAGAUAAUGCAAAUCCUAUACCUCUGAGUUGCCACAAGAUGGAUAAAAGAAAUCAAAUGAUUAUUCCCCUGAGGUUGCAAUGGGAAGUUCAAACUUUAUGUCCCAGAAGUUAUAGUGUAAGGACUCUGAAAUUAUAGCGGGGCAAGCUUGCUGAGCAGAAUGUGAUUGUUUUUUUGGGUUUUUCUGUCAAGAAUACCAGCCGAACAAGAUGGCAGCAUAAUAAAUCAGUGAUAGUGCCCUGGUGAACAACGAGCGAUGAUACCUUAAGCAUUUAAAAAAAGAUCAUUUAAAAAGAUCAUUCUCAUUUUUGCAUUCAUAUAUCAUUCAUAGCACAUCUAGUUAGGAGCAUUUGAUUCAUUUCGAUCAUAGCAUCCUAAUUAUUUGACAUAAGCAUCACAUCUAGUUAGGAGCAUUUGAUUCAUUUCGAUCAUAACAUCCUAAUUAUUUGACAUCAGCAUCACAUCUAAUUAUGAGUAUUUGAUUCAUUUUGAUCAUAGCAUCUUAAUUAUUUGACAUAAGCAUGAUACAUGAAACCGAGUCUACAGGACAUAUCCAAGAGGACGGUGUAGUAACAUCGGUGAAGUCAGAUCUUAUCUCCCUGAAGUUGCAGUGGAGCAGACCAAAGAUGGCGAAUCUUAUCUCCAUGUAUCGGCAAUGGAGCAGAUUUUAGCCGCUAGCCUUAUCUUUCUGAGGUAGCAAGAGAGCAGGUUGAAGAUGGUGGUCUUAUCUUCCUAAGGUAACAAGGAAGCAGACUGAAGAUUGAAGAUCUUGUCUCUCUAAGCAGUAGUGGAGUAGAUCGAAGAUGGCGAAUCUUAUCUCCAUGUAUCGGCAAUGGAGCAGAUUUUAGCCACUAACCUUAUCUCCCUGAGGUAGCAAAAGAGUAGGUUGAAGAUGGUGGUCUUAUCUUCCUGAGGUAGGAACGAAGCAGACUGAUGAUUGUAAAUCUUAGCUCCCUAAGCAGUUGAGAAGCAAAUCGAAUACGGCGAAUCUUAUCUCCAUGUAUCGGAAAUGAAGUAGAUUUUAGUCACUAGCAUUAUCUCUCUGACGUAGCAAAAAAGCAGAUUGGCGAUUGUAGGCUUAUCUUCUUGAGGUAACAAGGAAGCAAACUGAAGAUUGAAGAUCUUAUCUCUUUAAGCAGUUGGGAGCAAAUUGAGGAUGGCGAAUCUUAUCUCCAUGUUUCGGCAAUGGAGCAGAUUUUAGCCACUAGCCUUAUCUCUCUAAGGAAGCAAGAGAGUGGGUUGGCGAUUGUAGUCUUAUCUUCCUGAGGCAGCAAGGAAGCAGACUGAAUAUUGAAGAUCUAUUUUCCUAAGCAGUUGUGGAGCAGAUCGAGGAUGGCGAAUCUUAUCUCCAUGUAUCAGCAAUAGAGCAGAUUUAAGCCACCAUCCUAUUUCCUUAAAGUUACAGUCAAGAUUCAGCAAAACAGGGCAAAAUUGGCCCUAUUUGAAGUCUUUGCUCUAUUCUCGUUACACGACAAUAAGUAAAGAGGGACAGCUGUAAUAGGCCCAUUUCGCAUGGGCCCAUAAAAAAACGAAAAAAACAAAAAAAAACCAAAAUAAAUAAAAUAAAAUAAGGUCCAAAGUCCAACAUUACAAAAAGCCCAGCUUUUAGCCUAAUACCAAAUUUACAUUUAACCCACAUACAAUUGAAGCCCAAAUUUUAAACUCAUUUUACAAUAAGGCCCAAUCUUAAAACAGCCCAAAUGGCCCGGGCAAAUUGAAACUUCUGGAACCUUAGGGUUCCCUUGCGCCGCAGCCUUCACAAGCGGCCUCUCCACAUCGCACGUGCUCCUCCGUUCCUCCGUACACCCCACGAACGGCCUCACCAUGUCAGCAGCACCACAACCUUCAUACCCACAACGGACUAACAACUCACAACAGAUUGACAGCAAAUAGAUCUAAGGGAAAAUUUUUUGUAUUUAUUAUUAUUAUUCUUUUUAUUCGACUAUAAAGGCCAGUGAAAUCGAAUGUAAAGAGGAUCUUUUCCACAAAAAAAAUACAAUACAGAUACAGAAAAACAGAGAGUAGGAUUUGACUUUUUCAAAUACAAUGAGAUUUUCCAUUUUUCUUCUCUUUAAGAGGUGAUUGGUGAUUCUGAUUUUCCUUUUUAAGUUUUUUACAACAAAAGAAAAAAAGCAAAAAGAGUGAAAAGAUCGAAAGUACCUUUUCCAGCCAUCGUUAUUCACGAUCGAAAUGGAUUAGUGGCGCAUUUGAGCCCUAGCAGAGGAGAAAGGGAAAAAACCCUUCUGCUCCUUUCGAUUUUGAGGCAAAUGCCUUUGACAGGAAGGUUUCUUUGUUUCUUAUGCAUAAA
rnacentral:lncRNA from 1 species